UCCAUCUAGAGAGGUGAGGGAGAAAAGACAAAAUAGGUGAUAAGGAAUCUGGAGCAGACCUGUCCAAAGCAGGUCCCUGUGACCUCUGCACACGGAUUAAAAAAGCCUCCAAGUAUCACUAUCUAUACGGCACUGCAUUCAUUCGUUCAAGAGAAGAGGGGAAAAGAGGAAGAUCUUUGCUGACUGAGAAAGGCUAAUUUUAAGAAUGAAGUGAAUGAAAGAGGAGGAAGUGAAGGCACCAAGUAUAGUUAGUUUUCUAUGGAAUAUGGACACAAAAAAGAAGCACUUUAGAGCAGCAACAGGCACAGAGAUCUAAGAUUAGCAACAAUGGGAUGACAGAAGGGGCAAAUUGUUGGCAUAGAUCCAAUGGAAUGGAAUUAAGAGUAUGUAAAGGGAUUUGUCUCAAAGAGAAGAACUCGCUUAGUAAGAGCCAGAGGUAAAGAUACCUGAGUGAUAUAAGGAGGAGGAGGAGGAAGAGGGAGCUCCUAGUGCAGGAACUCUUCGUUUUUCAGCAAAGGUUGAAGUGAGCUAAAAGGGUGGUGCUAUGAAGGCUUGAGAAGGGGAAAAAGGUUUGGAAUAGCCUCUGUAGUGAGUGGAUGAGUAAAUCAAUUUGGGAAAUGCAAAAAGACUGCCUUGCUUCAGUGAGGGCACAACUGAGAUUAUGAAAUAAAUUUGUAAUGGACUCAGUCAAA